CACACUUUAAAUAUGCUAAAGAGCUAAAAUCAUUUAUUGAAAACUUUCUACAGAAUAAAAAUUGUAUACUUGAUGACCAAUGUUAAUAUAUAUUCAGAUAAUGUUUAAGUCUGCAUUCUGUUGCCUCUGAAAAUGUCAGUUUUUUUUCUGUAAUUGCAAACCGUGACAACAACAAAAACACAAAAAAAUUUAAUUAAAACAAUAUCCACAUGAAAUAAAAUUUGGACAAUCUUAAUUAAAGGAAGGUUGCAUAACUGGCUUGAUCAAGGUAUAUUAUGACUUGGUGUAAAAAAUUACGUGCAUUUCUUGGUAUUUUCCUAUGACGUCUGUGCUCAGUAUCUCGGCUGUUACUAAACUAUAGUUCCCAUACAGCUGGCUGAGCAUCACGGGAAAUGUAGUUCAGAAAUGUAUUGCAUUCCAAGGUUUGCCAUCAGUGGUAAAUUCUAUUGUAUUUCAAUGCUUCAAGGUAUGUUACCGUCCAAUAAACUCUGCAUGACAAAGAAAGGGGAAAAAAAGUCAACUUCGGUUGCUGUCGUGUUACAGGAAGUAUUAAUACUUUAUUGUGGUGCCAGUACUGUACUUGCACAAAGUAUUUUGUAGCAGACAUCUGGAGAUAUAUAAUACAUUUUCUGAUAAGCAUGUUGGGAGUUAUGAAGAGCAGUGCUGCUUGUCAUGUAAAAAAAUCAGAAUGUUCAUUCAAUCUUCC